GACGAACGCUGGCGGCGUGCUUAACACAUGCAAGUCGAACGCGCCUGUCCUCUGGGUUUCUGGGGGGUGGGUGAGUGGCGAACGGGUGAGUAACACGUGAGUAACCUGCCCCCUUCUUCGGGAUAACGGUCUGAAAGGGCUGCUAAUACCGGGUAUUCACUGGUCUCCGCAUGGGGUCUGGUGGAAAGGUUUUUUUCUGGUGGGGGAUGGGCUCGCGGCCUAUCAGCUUGUUGGUGGGGUGAUGGCCCACCAAGGCUUUGACGGGUAGCCGGCCUGAGAGGGUGACCGGUCACAUUGGGACUGAGAUACGGCCCAGACUCCUACGGGAGGCAGCAGUGGGGAAUAUUGCGCAAUGGGCGCAAGCCUGAUGCAGCGACGCCGCGUGAGGGAUGGAGGCCUUCGGGUUGUGAACCUCUUUCGCCCGUGGUCAAGCCGCGACGUGGGUCGUGGUGAGGGUAGUGGGUAAAGAAGCGCCGGCUAACUACGUG
rnacentral:rRNA from 1 species